UACAGAGGUCUCGAGCGUUAGGCGGAAUCACUGGGCUUAAAGCGUGUGUAGGUGGAUCGUUAAGUACCUUGUGAAAUCCCUCGGCUUAACCGGGGAACUGCGUCUGAUACUGGAUGGCUUGAAUCCGGGAGAGGGAUGCGGAAUUCCAGGUGUAGCGGUGAAAUGCGUAGAUAUCUGGAGGAACACCGGUGGCGAAGGCGGCAUCCUGGACCGGCAUUGACGCUGAGGAGCGAAAGCCAGGGGAGCAAACGGG
rnacentral:rRNA from 1 species